rnacentral:rRNA from 1 species
ACCAGACUCCUACGGGAGGCAGCAGUGGGGGAUAUUGCACAAUGGGGGGAACCCUGAUGCAGCGACGCCGCGUGAGUGAAGAAGCGCCUCGGCGCGUAAAGCCCUGUCAGCAGGGAAGAAAAUGACGGUACCUGAAGAAGAAGCCCCGGCUAACUACGUGCCAGCAGCCGCGGUAAUACGUAGGGGGCAAGCGUUAUCCGGAUUUACUGGGUGUAAAGGGGGCGCAGACGGCGAUGCAAGCCAGGAGUGAAAGCCCGGGGCCCAACCCCGGGACUGCUCUUGGAACUGCGUGGCUGGAGUGCAGGAGGGGCAGGCGGAAUUCCUGGUGUAGCGGUGAAAUGCGUAGAUAUCAGGAGGAACACCGGUGGCGAAGGCGGCCUGCUGGACUGCAACUGACGUUGAGGCCCGAAAGCGUGGGGAGCAAACAGGAUUAGAUACCCGUGUAUU